rnacentral:tRNA from 2 species
GGGCGAUUGGGGUAGCUUGGAUAUCCUGACGGGCUUCGAACCCGUCGACGCGGGUUCGAAUCCUGCAUCGCCCACCA